rnacentral:lncRNA from 1 species
AUGUUAAAGACCUCAAGGUUAUAUUUAUUAAUUCAGUUAAACAACAUGAUGAAAACUACAUGGUUGCUUCAAUGGAUGUUGAUCUUUUUCAUAUCAAGAUUAAACCGAUAUCAUUGGAUGUGGUUUCCUUUGCGUACUAAAGAAU